GGCGUGCCUAAUACAUGCAAGUCGAGCCCUUCGGAUCGGAGCUUGCUCUGGUUUGGUCAGCGGCGGACGGGUGAGUAACACGUGGGCAACCUGCCCGCAAGACCGGGAUAACUCCGGGAAACCGGAGCUAAUACCGGAUAACACCGAAGACCGCAUGGUCUUUGGUUGAAAGGCGGCCUUUGGCUGUCACUUGCGGAUGGGCCCGCGGCGCAUUAGCUAGUUGGUGAGGUAACGGCUCACCAAGGCGACGAUGCGUAGCCGGCCUGAGAGGGUGACCGGCCACACUGGGACUGAGACACGGCCCAGACUCCUACGGGAGGCAGCAGUAGGGAAUCUUCCGCAAUGGGCGAAAGCCUGACGGAGCGACGCCGCGUGAGCGAAGAAGGCCUUCGGGUCGUAAAGCUCUGUUGUGAGGGACGAAGGAGCGCCGUUCGAAGAGGGCGGCGCGGUGACGGUACCUCACGAGGAAGCCCCGGCUAACUACGUGCCAGCAGCCGCGGUAAUACGUAGGGGGCGAGCGUUGUCCGGAAUUAUUGGGCGUAAAGCGCGCGCAGGCGGUCUCUUAAGUCUGAUGUGAAAGCCCACGGCUCAACCGUGGAGGGUCAUUGGAAACUGGGGGACUUGAGUGCAGGAGAGGAGAGCGGAAUUCCACGUGUAGCGGUGAAAUGCGUAGAGAUGUGGAGGAACACCAGUGGCGAAGGCGGCUCUCUGGCCUGCAACUGACGCUGAGGCGCGAAAGCGUGGGGAGCAAACAGGAUUAGAUACCCUGGUAGUCCACGCCGUANACGAUGAGUGCUAAGUGUUAGAGGGGUCACACCCUUUAGUGCUGCAGCUAACGCGAUAAGCACUCCGCCUGGGGAGUACGGGCCGCAGGCUGAAACUCAAAGGAAUUGACGGGGGGCCGGCACCAGCGGGGGAGCAUGUGGGUUAAUUCCAAAGAAACGCGAAGAACCUUACCAGGUCUUGACAUCCCCUGACAACCCAAGAAAUUGGGCGUUCCCCCUUCGGGGGGUCCGGGUGUCUGGUGGUGCUUGGUUGUCGUCUGCUCGUGUCGUGUG
rnacentral:rRNA from 1 species